AACGAACGCUGGCGGCAGGCGUAACACAUGCAAGUCGAGCGCCCCGCAAGGGGUGCGGCAGACGGGUGAGUAACGCGCGGGAAUCUACCCAUCCCUACGGAAUAGCUACGGGAAACUGGAAUUAAUACCGUAUACGCCCUACGGGGGAAAGAUUUAUCGGGGAUGGAUGAGCCCGCGUUGGAUGUGCUAGUUGGUGGGGUAAAGGCGUACCAAGGCGACGAUCCAUAGCUGGGCUGAGCGGAUGAUCAGCCACAUUGGGACUGAGACACGGCCCAAACUCCUACGGGAGGCAGCAGUGGGGAAUAUUGGACAAUGGGGGCAACCCUGAUCCAGCCAUGCCGCGUGAGUGAUGAAGGCCUUAGGGUUGUAAAAUUCUUUUACCAGGGACGAUAAUGACGGUACCUGGAGAAAAAGCCCCGGCUAACUUCGUGCCAGCAGCCGCUGUAAAAC
rnacentral:rRNA from 1 species